CCAUCAUUUAGUUGGGCACUCUAGCGAGACUGCCGGUGACAAACCGGAGGAAGGUGGGGAUGACGUCAAAUCAUCAUGCCCCUUAUGACCUGGGCUACACACGUGCUACAAUGGGAAGUACAACGAGUUGCGAAGUCGCGAGGCUAAGCUAAUCUCUUAAAGCUUCUCUCAGUUCGGAUUGUAGGCUGCAACUCGCCUACAUGAAGCCGGAAUCGCUAGUAAUCGCGGAUCAGCACGCCGCGGUGAAUACGUUCCCGGGCCUUGUACACACCGCCCGUCACACCACGAGAGUUUGUAACACCCGAAGUCGGUGAGGUAACCUUUUUGGAGCCAGCCGCCUAAGGUGGGAUAGAUGAUUGGGGUGAAGUCGUAACAAGGUAGCCGUAUCGGAAGGUGCGGCUGGAUCACCUCCUUUCUAAGGAA
rnacentral:rRNA from 1 species